rnacentral:sRNA from 1 species
AGCCGGAGAAGGGGCGGGGUCUCAGCUCCUACUUCAUUCUACGGCCGAGACCGGAGGAUGUUCCCUGCUCAGGAGGAGGCCGACAGGACCGUGUUUGUUGGGAAUUUAGAGGCCCGAGUUCGGGAAGAGAUUCUGUACGAGCUGUUCCUUCAGUUUCUUAUAGGCGGGGCCACUAACCAAAGUGACUAUAUGCAAAGACAGAGAAGGAAAGCCAAAGUCUUUUGGAUUUGUCUGCUUUAAACACCCAGAAUCGGUGUCUUAUGCCAUAGCUUUGCUGAAUGGAAUUCGUUUAUAUGGAAGACCAAUUAACGUGCAGUAUCGAUUUGGGAGUUCUCGCUCUUCUGAACCAGCUAACCAAAGUUUUGAGAGCUGUGUUAAGAUAAAUUCACACAACUACAGGAAUGAAGAAAUGGUGGUGGGCAGAUCUUCCUUUCCCAUGCAGUAUUUUCCAAUUAAUAAUACUUCUUUACCUCAAGAAUAUUUUCUCUUUCAGAAGAUGCAGUGGCAUGUGUAUAAUCCAGUGCUGCAACUUCCUUACUAUGAAAUGACAGCUCCACUUCCUAAUAGUGCAUCCGUGUCUUCCUCACUGAAUCAUGUUCCAGAUCUUGAGGCUGGACCCAGCUCAUAUAAAUGGACUCACCAACAACCAAGUGACUCUGACCUUUAUCAGAUGACAGCUCCACUUCCUAAUAGUGCAUCCGUGUCUUCCUCACUGAAUCAUGUUCCAGAUCUUGAGGCUGGACCCAGCUCAUAUAAAUGGACUCACCAACAACCAAGUGACUCUGACCUUUAUCAGAUGAAUAAACGAAAGAGACAAAAGCAAACAAGUGAUAGUGAUAGUAGCACAGACAACAACAGAGGCAACGAAUGUAGCCAAAAGUUCCGAAAGUCUAAGAAAAAGAAAAGAUACUAGUAUUACCUACACUGAUCUUAGUUCUCUUAUGAAAAAAAUAAGAUGUUAUUCCAUCAAAUAAACAAUGUCAUGGCUAUCUUGUCUUUUGAAAUAUAUAGUAAUAAGACUUAUCUCUGGUUUGCUGUUCAAUUUUUGCCUUGAACGACAAAAGCUUUCUAAAAAUAAUAUAAUGUACCACUUUUUGUAUUUGUCAUGAUAUUUUUGACCCAUUGGCAAUAAAUAGACUAUUGUCAUUUUAUUAGUACCAAUGAUGAAAUUUCACCAAACUAUUAAUCAAAAGUCACUUAUUGAACACAUUGAUAAAGCAUCAUGUUCCCUUUGAUUAUCCGCUGUAACCAACACUCAACUACAAAUAGGCUGGGAUUCAAUGUGGAGUGGUGGAUUUCCUGAAAGAAAGUAGUGCAGAUAUUUAAGGAUUGCAUAUUGUUCCUAAUGAGGAUGUAAUAAACAGGCAUUAGUACCCCUUUCUUUUAGUACCUAAAUAUGUUGUUUCUGAGCCAUAUUCUUCUUCAGGUUUAUUUUAUAAAGUGAGGACAUAUGAUAAUGAUACCAAAGGAAAGAUAAUUAUCAUGAAACCAACUUUUGGAUCAUUCCCUUUUUAUACAGUUAUGUAUUUAUAGGGAUACCUUCCUCUUCUCACAUAUUAAUUGUAUGUCAUUAAAAUCAGUUGGCUAUGUCAGUGUGUAUUAUUCACCUCUUUUGCUAGCAAGGUUUGAGAUGCUAUAUUAACAUUUAAAUCAUGAAAAUGAGCAAGUAAAUAGAAUAAUAUUUUAUUAAUAUAUGAUAUGUAAUACUUAUUGUCUAAAUCAAGUUUCCUAUUUUUGGUUUAUUUAUUUUAGAAGAAAAAAAUUAUUUGGGCAUUUUUGUUUAUAGCUCAUUACAAACUAGAGUGAUGAAUAUAUAUAUUUACUAAAGCUAAUUGAAAGAGUCAUGUAACUCAGUUGGGAAUUAACCACUCAAUUCAAUAGUAAAAGCCAUGCUUGGAUGUUUCUUUUGCAUGUUGCCUAGCAUUUUAUAGAUAUUUAUUAUUUAAAAAAAUAAAGAUAUGUUUUUAAUGAA